rnacentral:rRNA from 1 species
AGAGUGAACGCUGGCGGCAGGCCUAACACAUGCAAGUCGAGCGGCAGCACAGUCGUAGCAAUACGAUGGGUGGCGAGCGGCGGACGGGUGAGGAAUGCAUCGGAAUCUACCUUGUUGUGGGGGAUAACGUAGGGAAACUUACGCUAAUACCGCAUAAGACCGUGAGGUGAAAGCGGGGGACCUGCAAGGGCCUCGCGCGACAAGAUGAGCCGAUGCCGGAUUAGCUAGUUGGUGGGGUAAAGGCCCACCAAGGCGACGAUCCGUAGCUGGUCUGAGAGGAUGAUCAGCCACACUGGAACUGAGACACGGUCCAGACUCCUACGGGAGGCAGCAGUGGGGAAUAUUGAACAAUGGGCGCAAGCCUGAUCCAGCCAUGCCGCGUGUGUGAAGAAGGCCUUCGGUUGUAAGCACUUUGUUGGGUAAGAAAGUACCGGGAGUUAAUACUUCCUGAGCUGACGGUACCCAAAGAAUAAGACACCGGCUAACUUCGUGCCACG